CCUACGCGUGGCAGCAGUGGGGAAUAUUGCACAAUGGGCGAAAGCCUGAUGCAGCAACGCCGCGUGAGCGAUGAAGGCCUUCGGGUCGUAACGCUCUGUCCUCAAGGAAGAACAUGCCGGUAACUGAUGAGUAAGCCCCGGCUAACUACGUGCCAGAAGCCGCGGUAAUACGUAGGGGGCUAGCUUUAUCCGGACUGACUGGUCGUAAAGGGUGCGUAGGGGGUUUCGUGAGGCAGGGGUGAAAGGCUACGGUGAAACCGUAGUAAGCCUUUGAAACUGGGGAACUUGAGUGCAGGAGAGGAGAGUGGAAUUCCUAGUGUAGCGGUGAAAUGCGAAGAUAUUAGGAGGAACACCAGUUGCGAAGGCGGCUCUCUGGACUGUAACUGACACUGAGGCACGAAAGCGUGGGGAGCAAACAGGAUUAGAUACCCGGGUAGUC
rnacentral:rRNA from 1 species